rnacentral:rRNA from 1 species
ACGGGGCGCAGCAGGCGCGAAAACUUUACAAUGCGGGAAACCGUGAUAAGGGGACACCGAGUGCCAGCAACAUUUGUUGGCUGUCCAGGUGUGUAAACUACACCUGUUAGCAAGGGCCGGGCAAGACCGGUGCCAGCCGCCGCGGUAACACCGGCGGCCCGAGUGGUGAUCGUGAUUAUUGGGUCUAAAGGGUCCGUAGCCGGUUUGGUCAGUCCUCCGGGAAAUCUGACGGCUUAACCGUUAGGCUUUCGGGGGAUACUGCCAGGCUUGGAACCGGGAGAGGUAAGAGGUACUACAGGGGUAGGAGUGAAAUCUUGUAAUCCCUGUGGGACCACCUGUGGCGAAGGCGUCUUACCAGAACGGGUUCGACGGUGAGGGACGAAAGCUGGGGGCACGAACCGGAUUAGAUACCCGGGUAGUCCCAGCCGUAAACGAUGCUCGCUAGGUGUCAGGCAUGGCGCGACCGUGUCUGGUGCCGCAGGAAGCCGUGAAGCGAGCCACCUGGGAAGUACGGCCGCAAGGCUGAAACUUAAAGGAAUUGGCGGGGGAGCAC